UCGAGAGGCUUCCACAAUGGGGGAAACCCUGAUGGAGCGACGCCGCGUGGGUGAUGAAGGUCUUCGGAUCGUAAAACCCUUUCAGCAGGGAAGAAUGAGAACGGUGUUAAUACCACCGUAUUAGAGACGGUACCUGCAGAAGAAGCUCCGGCUAACUCCGUGCCAGCAGCCGCGGUAAGACGGAGGGAGCAAGCGUUGUCCGGAUUUACUGGGCGUAAAGGGCGUCUAGGCGGGCUGGCAAGUCAGAUGUGAAACCCCCCGGCUCAACCGGGGACCUGCAUUUGAUACUGCUGGUCUUGAGUACGGAAGAGGGAAGUGGAAUUCCUGGUGUAGCGGUGAAAUGCGUAGAUAUCAGGAAGAACAUCGGUGGCGAAGGCGGCUUCCUGGUCCAGUACUGACGCUGAAGCGCGAAAGUGUGGGGAUCGAACAG
rnacentral:rRNA from 1 species